CACUAGGUAAAAGAAUAGGAGAGAGGCACCCAUUUACGAUCAUUCUCAAAUGUCACAUUCUGUUAUUGUCUCUUUUUGGUAUUACAAUUUUGGCUGUUUUGGAGUAUUGGAGCAUAGUAUUGACGGUUAAAGCUUGAAAGAGUGUGUGUCAUGGCGAUUGAGAGUACAAAGAGAGCUACAGACAAAGAGGAAAGUGGCCCAAAUGUGAAAGCUAAAUGCAAUUUAGGACC
rnacentral:lncRNA from 1 species